rnacentral:tRNA from 1 species
AGCGGGAUGGUGUAACGGUAGCACACCGGUCUUUGAUACCGACAGUCCGGGUUCGAAUCCCGGUCCCGCUU